AUGAAUAAAGCAUUACAUCAACCAAAUACAAUCAAGGUCCGACUACGGAACCAAAAUAAAAGAAGAACCCCAAAUGCGACAAAGGUCCCUGAUCGACCCCAACUGGGCUCCACUACUGAUCAACUAGAACAAAAAGACAUAAAGGAUAAGAUCUUCAUCGAGCUCCUCCUGAGCUUGGUUGCGUCAUCUGCACGGGCUCAUCGGCACCUUCAAGCUGGUUUUGGAAGUAUCUGUGAGCCACGGGGACUCAGCAAUCUUGCACCCUCGCGAUCAAGACUAUUUAAGCUUAUGGGUAAGGUAAAGGUAUGA
rnacentral:rRNA from 1 species